GACGAACCGUGCAAACGUUGUUCGGAAUCACUGGGCUUAAAGGGCGCGUAGGCGGGUUCCCAAGUCGGUGGUGAAAUCUUUCGGCCCAACCGGAAAAGUGCCGCCGAUACUGGCAGGCUCGAGGCCGGUAGGGGGUAGCGGAAUUCCCGGUGUAGUGGUGGAAUGCGUAGAUAUCGGGAGGAACACCAGUGGCGAAGGCGGCUACCUGGACCGGUUCUGACACUGAGGAGCGAAAGCGUGGGGAGCGAUCCGG
rnacentral:rRNA from 1 species